GUGCUCACUUUAGCAGCACAUAUACUAAAACUGGAACGAUAUAGGGAAGAUUAGCAUGGCCGCUGCACAAGAAUGGCACACAAAUUGGUGAAGCGUUCCAUAUAAAA